rnacentral:rRNA from 1 species
UACGGAGGGGGCAAGCGUUGUUCGGAAUCAUUGGGCGUAAAGGGCGCGUAGGCGGCCUGCUAAGUCGGACGUGAAAUCCCUCGGCUCAACCGGGGAACUGCAUCCGAUACUGGUGGGCUUGAAUCCGGGAGAGGGAUGUGGAAUUCCAGGUGUAGCGGUGAAAUGCGUAGAUAUCUGGAGGAACACCGGUGGCGAAGGCGGCAUCCUGGACCGGUAUUGACGCUGAGGCGCGAAAGCCAGGGGAGCAAACGGG